rnacentral:rRNA from 1 species
UUCGAUGAUACGCGAGGAACCUUACCUGGGCUCAAAUGUAUGUUGACGUAUUCUGAAAGGGAUACUUCUUCGGACAAUAUACAAGGUGCUGCAUGGUUGUCGUCAGCUCGUGCCGUGAGGUGUCGGGUUAAGUCCCCAUAACGAGCGCAACCCCUAUCAUUAGUUGCCAUCAGGUCAAGCUGGGGACUCUAAUGAAACUGCCUACGCAAGUAGUGAGGAAGGUGGGGAUGACGUCAAAUCAGCACGGCCCUUACGUCCAGGGCUACACACGUGCUACAAUGGCCGAUACAGAGGGCAGCUACCUGGUGACAGGAUGCAAAUCUCCAAAGUCGGUCUCAGUUCGGAUCGGAGUCUGCAACCCGACUCCGUGAAGUUGGAUUCGCUAGUAAUCGCGCAUCAGCCAUGGCGCGGUGAAUACGUUCCCGGGCCUU